rnacentral:rRNA from 1 species
UACGUAGGGUGCGAGCGUUGUCCGGAAUUAUUGGGCGUAAAGAGCUCGUAGGCGGUUUGUCGCGUCUGCUGUGAAAUCCCGAGGCUCAACCUCGGGUCUGCAGUGGGUACGGGCAGACUGGAGUGCGGUAGGGGAGAAUGGAAUUCCUGGUGUAGCGGUGGAAUGCGCAGAUAUCAGGAGGAACACCGAUGGCGAAGGCAGUUCUCUGGGCCGUAACUGACGCUGAGGAGCGAAAGCGUGGGGAGCGAACAGG